rnacentral:rRNA from 1 species
UAGGGAAUCUUCGGCAAUGGACGAAAGUCUGACCGAGCAACGCCGCGUGAGUGAAGAAGGUUUUCGGAUCGUAAAACUCUGUUGUUAGAGAAGAACAAGGACGUUAGUAACUGAACGUCCCCUGACGGUAUCUAACCAGAAAGCCACGGCUAACUACGUGCCAGCAGCCGCGGUAAUACGUAGGUGGCAAGCGUUGUCCGGAUUUAUUGGGCGUAAAGCGAGCGCAGGCGGUUUCUUAAGUCUGAUGUGAAAGCCCCCGGCUCAACCGGGGAGGGUCAUUGGAAACUGGGAGACUUUAGUGAAGAAGAGGGGAGUGGAAUUCCAUGUGUAGCGGUGAAAUGCGUAGAUAUAUGGAGGAACACCAGGGGCGAAGGCGGCUCUCUGGUCUGUAACUGACGCUGAGGCGCGAAAGCGUGGGGAGCAAACAGG